UUGAGUUUGAUCCUGGCUCAGGAUGAACGCUGGCGGCGUGCCUAAUACAUGCAAGUCGAACGAAAAGAGGAGCUUGCUUCUCUUUUAGUGGCGAACGGGUGAGUAAUACAUAAGCAACCUACCGAUUCGACCGGGAUAACAGUUGGAAACGACUGCUAAUACCGGAUAGGUGCGCGGGGGACAUCCCCUGCACAUUAAAGCUGGGACACAGCACGAAUGGAUGGGCUUAUGGCGCAUUAGUUAGUUGGCGGGGUAACGGCCCACCAAGACGAUGAUGCGUAGCCGACCUGAGAGGGUGACCGGCCACACUGGGACUGAGACACGGCCCAGACUCCUACGGGAGGCAGCAGUAGGGAAUUUUCGGCAAUGGGCGCAAGCCUGACCGAGCAACGCCGCGUGAGUGAAGAAGGCCUUCGGGUUGUAAAGCUCUGUUGUAAGGGAAGAAUGGCCAAGAGAGGGAAUGCUCUUGGAGUGACGGUACCUUACCAGAAAGCCACGGCUAACUACGAGCCAGCAGCCGCGGUAAUACGUAGGUGGCAAGCGUUAUCCGGAAUUAUUGGGCGUAAAGGGAGCGUAGGCGGUUUGAUAAGUCUGAGGUGAAAGUUCGGGGCUCAACUCCGAAUUGCCUUAGAAACUGUCAGACUAGAGUGCAGGAGAGGGCAAUGGAAUUCCAUGUGUAGCGGUAAAAUGCGUAGAUAUAUGGAGGAACACCAGUGGCGAAGGCGGUUGCCUGGCCUGUA
rnacentral:rRNA from 1 species